rnacentral:tRNA from 1 species
CGGCCGGGUGCGGCCCCCUGCUUGGGCCCCGCUGCGGACCCGGCUGCCGCCGGGUGUGACCCCGUGCUUGGCCGCCGGUGCGGGCCCGGCUGCGGCCGG